rnacentral:lncRNA from 1 species
GGGUGUUAGGUUAGCGCGAGGCGUGACCUAGUUGACAGGCUCUGAGGUGCUGCUGUGGCGGCGGCCGCCGAACUGAGGCGGGUGGGAUCCAAAGCCAAGCGCGGGCUGAGGGAGGAGGGCGGCAACUGGAAAGCGGCGAGCGACGCGGGACGCAGAACCUUUUUCACUUUUUCCUUCCCGAGUGCCCCCUCCUAACCCUCCCACUACACACACACCCUGUUUGCCCGUGAGCCUGGGGAACUUGCAGCUUAAAGCCAGCCACCCCCAAGGCAACAUGUACCCCAGCAACAAGAAGAAAAAGGUGUGGAGAGAGGAGAAAGGUAACCAGCCCGUCGAGUCCUGGGGGGUGCGGGCGGUAGGGGUUGGGGUGGGGGCGGGGGUCAGGCAGUGUGUGCCGCGGCGCCCUCCGCUAGAGCUCCCGCCUCGCGCCCUCCGGCCGGUGCCGCCUCCCUCUGGUGUCGGUGUGUACACACGCGCACACCCGUGCGCGCCUCGCCGUGCACGCGCCGCCCCCAGGCACCUGCAGCUCGCGCACGUGUGGGCGCACGCCCCUUUCUACCUCCAGCCGCGCCCGGUCACCUUCUGCCUAGGUGGGGCUGCUCUCGCCUCGCAGGCAGCGUGGAAUCCCUUGUACCCUUGGCGCGGUACAAGUUUCUGUGAAUCCCAGCUGGGACUUUGGCACCCCUGGCUGGGGUGUCCCACGGACAAGUGUCCGCUGGCAGGCACUCAGGCUGCAUUGCCGCUGCGCCUUGGCGCCCCAGAACCCUCAUUCAUUCCUUCCUCCACUCCAGACUGGUAAAGAGUCCCCAUUUUCAUGUGUUUAUCCCCUUUCUAGGUCCCCUUCCCCAGCUGCAGUGUGACUUUUGAAAUCUGAAACUCUAGGGGAAACCUGAAAGGAGCAUCUUGUCAGUGAGGAUAAGCGCUUUAGAGGAGUCUGAAUGGGCUUUUCACUCAGCAAUGUAUUUCUGUGUUUUACAUCCCCAUUCAUAGUCUGAAGUUGUUCAGUGCAUUGUAUGUCACUCAGUGAUUGAACCCAUUCCUGAAUUUUGUGCAUAUCAAGGCUUAGCCAAAUAGGUUAAAUUGACAGUAGCAUUAAUUCCUUUAAGACAUACAAGUGUAUGAUUCAGUCCCCUCCCUUCGUUUCUCUUUCUUUUCUGUUGUCACAGAUUAUAUUCUGAUGUAAAACUUGAUACUGGCAUUUCCCCCCCCCCCCUCUCCUUUUUCACCUCUAUUCUUUAUUUUUUACCUUUCUCACAGAUAUGUAACAAAAAGAGCUUGUAUUGAUACUGUUAAGAUACGCUAAACUUACAUGUUUGGGUGACCGGCUUGAAAAUUAGUUUCUUUGAUAGUAGCUCUUUAAAACGUGUAGAUUUUUUAAUUGCAAGUCCGUUUGGCCUUUGAACAGGUGAUAGCCAAACGGUGGAGGUGAGAAUGGGAAUUAAAAAGAAUCCUCUAUGUAGGGCCUGUUUCCAACAAUAUAUGAGAAAAGGGAUAGGAGGAUGCCCACCCUCCCAAAGUAACUACCAGGAAGAUUUAAUGUAACAGUACACACAAUUAAAGUGUCCUUUAAAAUACUGAAAGAUUAGAAUGUGUGUCAUUUAACUAUGUUUUCAUGAUUAUGAGCAUGGAGGGCUAAAAAUUCUGGUGUCAUGGAACAAAUGCUGUUGAGAAUAAGAGCCUGAUAUAUAAAAUGAUUUGUUUUUUGCAGUAGUAUUUAUUUUCCACAUAUUUUCAACAAGGAUACCUUAUGAGCUUUGAAAAAUCAUUUCUACCCAUUUUUAUUGAUGGUCUUGAAAUGUUAGCUUUGUAUUAUUGAUGAUGAUGAAGGCAGGAUAGUGGAGACAGACAUUGUUUUCAAUAAUAUGAAUCGUUGAUGAAAUUAUAGUGAGUACUUAAGAAUUAUUUUUCUGUUAUACUUAAAAAAAGUUCCUAAAGUAACAAUGUUAUAAUGGUUCAUUCAUUUAACAGCUACACAGUUGGACUGAUAAGCAGAAAUAAGUCUUUUUAGUGUCUUUUUUUCUCUAUUUCUUCUAAAGGAAAAAUAUAACCAAAUUAAUAUUUUUAAAAUAAAGAAGUAGAUGCACAAAGAAGGCAAUUAAAGUAGUUUUCUCUUAUUCAAAACUAAGCUAUUUUUGCAUGAAAUUUAAAGGGAAGAGUUGUGAUUUGAAACUUUAAUGUAUGUUUUAUUGUUUUAUCAAGAUGUUUGUAUUUGGAAAAUUUGAGUACAAAAAUCAUAUGUAUUAUUACAUCAAGAAAGCACAAAGAAUUUCUAGUACAGCAGAAAAGUUUAUCCCACUAGAGAGUUGAUGGCAUAAUAUUUUUUGCAGUGUUACUUAAAUCCAAAAGAAGGCUUACCCACUUCAUUGAAAUGUCAAGACACUCUAGAAACAUAUUUAAACUCAGUAUAUCAUCUAAUAAGUAGGUCUGCCUGCUUAUAUGUUGGGUUUACAGAGGAAGGGUUCAUUAGAAAGGUGAAUCAUUCUUUAAAAAUAAAUCUUAUAUAACGGUAAAGAAACUGUAUGUCUGUGGUCUUCAGUAUGUUUCAUUGUUGAAACAAAUAACUAAGGAGUGCUCAAGACCACAUUUAUUAAGUAGACAUUAUAGUAUUUUAGCCCUAAUUCAGAAUCAAUGUGUAUUUCUUUUCUUUUCUUUCUUUUUGGUACCAGGGAUUGAACUCAGGGACAUGCGACCACUGAGCCACAUCCCCAGCCCUAUUUUGUAUUUUGAGACAGUGUCUCACUGAGUUGUUUAGCACUUUGCUGUUGCUGAGGCUGACUUGAACUUGUGAUCCUCCUGUCUCAGCCUCUCAAGCCACUGGAAUUAUAGGCAUGUGCCACUGUACCUGGCUACUUAAUGUUUAUUUUCAUUUUAAGUAUUAGGACUUACUUUUGUUUUUUUACAAUUGGUCUUGUUUUGUUUUGUCUUUAUACGUAAACUUUUAAAUAAAUAGAAUGACAGAGGACAGGUUUCAUUUCUAUAUGUACCUUCUGACAUUUGCAAAAACUGUAAAUUGCUUAAUGUCUUUCAUCUUAUUUCUGAUAUUGUGGUAAUUUCAAAUUAGUAAUCUAAGGCUUUAAAAGUAGUACUUUUAGCAAUUUACAGUCAUCUUCCUUUUCCAUUUUUGUGUGAUAAGUCAGAAUUUACUAUUCCUUUCAGGCUUUCUACUCUACCAAGAUCCUAUCUCUUUGUAAUACACAGAUGAUAUAUAUAUAUAUAUAUAUAUAUAUAUAUAUAUAUAUAUAUAUAUAUUUUAAUUCACAGAGAAAGUAAAUGCCUUAAAACAUGAACAGCCUAAAUAUUCUCUUCCAUGGUCUUAUUGGUUUGUUUCUUUACAUGUUCUUUAGGUUUUUUUCCUAUCUUAGAGGAAGCACUUCUUUGUUUCUAAGAUAAACUCCACUGCUUGUGUUCUUCAUCCCAUCUCCUGUAGUUGAGAUCUUCUGCCCUGAUUUAUUUGUUCUUGGGUAUGUUUUAAUUUCAGUAUCUUUGUGUUCCUCUCUAUGCCUGUAACAAUUCUCACAGCACUUCACCCUGGAGUUGUUCUCAUUUGCCUUCUUUUGCUCACUCCUCCAUAGCCUCUUGGAUUUUAGUUAUAUUCUAAUGAAACAUAUGUUCCUAAAAUCAUUUUGUAAUAACUAUGAUGGUGGUAUAAGAGGAGUUACCAUUUAAAUCCUGUUUGUGUGCUCAGCAUUAUUCUUAUUGCCUUACAUGGGUUAUCUUGUUUGAUUCUCACAACAAUCCUAUGAGGUAGAAAUUAUAGGGAAGUAUACAGUAGGGUCAAGAGCUCUGAACACAGUUGCCUAGAUUUGAAUCCUCGUUAUUGAGCUAUGUAGAAUCUUAUGUAAGUUAUUUGACCCGUCUUCCUUAUUUGCCUUGUCUGUACAUUGGGAAUAAUACCAGCCUGCUUACCUUAAAAGGACACUGCAACAAAGAUAUGCAACACAUAUUUGCAUAAUUUAGAUUACAACCCCACCAGCACUGUGUACCACCUCAGUGCCAGUUAAUGAAAACAAUGGCUUUUAUAAUUUUUGUGUAAUUUUUAUUCUUGUAGGAAGAAUACUUCUUCUACUUAUUCAAAUCCUUUUUCCUUAUUUUUUCCGAAUCUCAAUGGGACCUUGUAACCCCAGUGACAAGUAGGUUUUAUUUCAUUGUUCAUCUGUUUGUGCCUGAUAAAUAUGCCUAAGUGCUUUUUAAAAUUAAAAAAAAAUUGGGGCUGGGGAUGUGGCUCAGGCGGUAGCGCGCUCACCUGGCAUGCGUGCGGCCCGGGUUCGAUCCUCAGCACCACAUACAAACAAAGAUGUUGUGUCCCCCAAAAAACUAAAAAAUAAAUAUUAAAACAUUCUGUCUCUCUCUCUCUCUCUCACUCUCUCUUUAAAAAAAAAUUUAAAAAAGUUGUUUCUUGAGGUUACAUCCCCUCCCCUUUCUUUUCUCUCUUCCCUCCUCUAAUCCUUUAGACUAGAAAUUUAGGUUAUAAUUUCCAAAUCUUUUUGUAAAAUAUUUUUUUAGCUGUAGAUGAACACAAUACCUUUUAUUUUAUUUAUGUAUUUUUAUGUGGUGCUGAGGAUCGAACCCAAGGUCUUGCAUGUGCUAGGUGAGUGCUCUACCACUGAGCUACAACCCCAGCCCUAAUUUCCAGUUCUUGAAGUUGGACCUUUCUCCAAGUUCAAGAUUCUUGAUUUCAAGAAUGUCCCACAGGUACCUGAAACUCAAUUUUUUGACCCUAAUCACCUUAGUAAAUGUGGCUUGAAUGUUACCUCUGAUUAAAAUACCUUCUUUUGAUACGAUUGAAGAAGAGGUAGUUGUAGGAGUGUGGAAAAGUAUUGAGCUUAGCUUCCAGAGUAGCAGAGGCUAUAAGCACUAACACCAUUUUCAUACCCAGCUUGAAAGAAUCUUUUAAAGUGAUUAUUUUGCUAGGGUUGAAUUUCCUUGAACUAUAUACUAUGCAUUUUUAAGUUAAAUCAUCUAAACUACAGUGCCAUGUAAUAAGCCAAAAGAGAAUUACGGUGAGAGUGUGACUGUCAUUCACUAUAUAUAUCGUGGAGAUCUUUGGUAAAGAUGCACAACUGCUGACCUAUAGAGUGAGGUUGCCAGUGUUAGUUUAUAUGUUGAAUAUUAGUAAAUCUUAAGUUCUUCCUUGUUUUUUUUUUAGUUGUAGAAAAACACAAUACCUUUAUUUUAUUUGUUAAUGUUUUAUAUUUAUUUUUAUGUGGUGCUGGGGAUCAAACCCAGUGCCUCAUACAUUCUAGGCAAGUGCUCCACUACUGAGCCACAACACCGGCCCAAGUUCUUCCUUGUUUUUAAGAUUAAAAAUUAAUUUUCACAUUUUUUUUCAUUCAUUCUAGUAGAUCAUUUUAUGUACCUACUGGGAUAUGCAUAAUCAACUUUGAAUAUUAGUGGUCUGCUCUAUAGGGUAAAGUUAAACUGCUCAGCAUGGUGUACAAGUUCCUAAAUAGCUAUGUUUUAUCUUGUUUUCAGCUAUUUUUCACUUCUGUAGCCAAUCACUUUCUGAUAUUGUAUCUUUCAUUUUUCAUUAAACUAGUUGCAUUUCCUUAAUUUUAAUAUUGUUUUGUUGGUCAAAAUGUCCUUACUUUCUGCCUCUUUGUGGCAAAACUCUAUACAUCCUUCAUGAGUCAGCUUACAUAUCACUUUUUUGGGGGAAGUUUUCUUGACAAUGUAGUGUAUUAUAAUGUUAAUAGCAUAACCUGACAGUGAAAGUGCACUUUUUUUUUUUUUAAGAGAGAGUGAGAGAUGGAGGGGGGGGGGAGAGAGAGAGAGAGAGAGAGAGAGAGAGAGAUUUUUUUUUUAAUAUUUAUUUUUUAGUUUUCGGCGGACACAACAUCUUUGUUUGUAUGUGGUGCUGAGGAUCGAACCCAGGCCGCACGCAUGCCAGGCGAGCGCGCUACCGCUUGAGCCACAUCCCCAGCCCUGAAAGUGCACUUUUAUUGGUAAUGGCCUUGUAGAAUCAAGGAAUUAUCUUGGUGGCUAUAUUUUUUCUUUUUUCUUCUUUUUUUUUUUUUGUGAGUGUUUUCAUUAUUUGUACUUACCUGUCUUCAUUUUUUUCCCCUUUUAUUUGGUACUGGGAAUCUAACCUGGGGUGCUUUGCUAGUGAGCUGCCUCCCCAGCCCUUUUUGUUUUGAGACAGGGUCUUACUAAGUUGCUAAGGGUCUUGCUAAGUUGCUAAAGCUAUCCUUGAACUUGUGAUCCUCCUGUCUCAGUCUCCUGAGUUGCUGGGAUAAGAGGUGUGUUGCACCACUGCGACUGACUUAUCUUACCAUUUUAAAUUUUACCUACAUAGGUAUUAUUUUGUAUGUUUUCAGUUUCAUCUUUUGUCCUGUGAACUCAAGGUUAAGGAUCACCUUUAUAUCUAGGGUGUAUAAACAUAUCCCCUGAUAGGUACCAGGCUGUUAGUAAAUACUGAUUGAAAGAAUAAAUGAUUUUACUUAUUUCUUAGACCAUCAUGAGAGUGUCUUCUUCAUCAGGCUUUGUUUUUAUUUUUCUUGCUAUUAUGAGGUUAAUUUGACACCUUCUAACACACAUUUUGGUGUUCCUUAAGACCAUACUAAGUCUUUGGUUAGUUUAACAUGGUUAAUAUUUAAAGUAUAAAAUAAUUCCAAAGCUUAAUAAUUAAAUACAAAUGGAGAUUCUGCUUUUAUUUUGCAAGAACGUUUACUGAAGAUGACCUUAGAGGAGAGACGCAAAGAAUACAUAAGGGACUAUGUUCCUCUCAACACCAUUCCAUCCUGGAAGGAGGAGAUGAAGGGCAAGAACCAAAAUGAUGGUAAGUUUCUCAGAAUAUUUUUUAGGUACAAACUGU